rnacentral:rRNA from 1 species
AUUGAACGCUGGCGGCAGGCCUAACACAUGCAAGUCGAGCGGAUGAAGGGAGCUUGCUCCUGGCUUCAGCUGCGGACGGGUGAGUAAUGCCUAGGAAUCUGCCUUGUCGUGGAGGAUAACGUCCGUAAACGGGCGCUAAUACCGCAUACGUCAUGAGGGAGAAAGUGGGGGUUCUUCGGACCUCACGCUAUCAGAUGACCCUAGGUCGGAUUAGCUAGUUGGUUAGGUAAAGGCCUACCAAGGCGACGAUCCAUAACUGGUCUGAGAGGAUGAUCAGUCACACUGGAACUGAGACACGGUCCAGACUCCUACGGGAGGCAGCAGUGGGGAAUAUUGGACAAUGGGCGAAAGCCUGAUCGAGCAAUGCCGCGUGAGUGAAGAAGGUCUUCGGAUCGUAAAGCACUGUAAGUAGGGAGGAAGAGAAGUAAGUGAAUACCUUGAUGUUUUGACGUUACCAAAAGAAUAAGCCCCGGCUAACUUCGUG